rnacentral:rRNA from 1 species
GAGCUCGUAGGCGGUUUGUCGCGUCUGCUGUGAAAGCCCGGGGGCUCAACCCCGGGUCUGCAGUGGGUACGGGCAGACUAGAGUGCAGUAGGGGAGACUGGAAUUCCUGGUGUAGCGGUGAAAUGCGCAGAUAUCAGGAGGAACACCGAUGGCGAAGGCAGGUCUCUGGGCUGUUACUGACGCUGAGGAGCGAAAGCAUGGGGAGCGAACAGGAUUAGAUACCCUGGUAGUCCAUGCCGUAAACGUUGGGCACUAGGUGUGGGGGACAUUCCACGUUCUCCGCGCCGUAGCUAACGCAUUAAGUGCCCCGCCUGGGGAGUACGGCCGCAAGGCUAAAACUCAAAGGAAUUGACGGGGGCCCGCACAAGCGGCGGAGCAUGCGGAUUAAUUCGAUGCAACGCGAAGAACCUUACCAAGGCUUGACAUUCACCGGACCGCCUCAGAGAUGGGGUUUCCCUUCGGGGUCGGUGGACAGGUGGUGCAUGGUUGUCGUCAGCUCGUGUCGUGAGAUGUUGGGUUAAGUCCCGCAACGAGCGCAACCCUCGUUCUAUGUUGCCAGCACGUGAUGGUGGGGACUCAUAGGAGACUGCCGGGGUCAACUCGGAGGAAGGUGGGGAUGACGUCAAAUCAUCAUGCCCCUUAUGUCUUGGGCUUCACGCAUGCUACAAUGGCCGGUACAAAGGGUUGCGAUACUGUGAGGUGGAGCUAAUCCCAAAAAGCCGGUCUCAGUUCGGAUUGAGGUCUGCAACUCGACCUCAUGAAGUCGGAGUCGCUAGUAAUCGCAGAUCAGCAACGCUGCGGUGAAUACGUUCCCGGGCCUUGUACACACCGCCCGUCAAGUCACGAAAGUUGGUAACACCCGAAGCCGGUGGCCUAACCCCUUGUGGGAGGGAGCCGUCGA